AAAAUGGUGUUUGGACCGGGUGAUUUGUGGUUUUGAAGUGAGUCAUUUACAAUCAUCAUAGCAGGUCAGAUUGACACAAAGCACUCUAAUGUGCAUCAUGGAUCCAAUAAGAAACCAACCACCAAUGGAUGACUUCAUCCCAUUAGAAUAUUAAGCCCAUCCUAUCUCAGUAUAACCGCCUGGCCCUGAAGUAACAGAAGAGCAAAGAGAUUUUAAUUAACUGGCAGCAAAUCGCGUAGAAGACGUUUGAGGAAUGAAAGGCACUUUGACAAAGAUCUGCAGAGCAGGAUUCCUGUCUUCUAUCAUUCUUGUCUUAUACAUUGCCAUGACAUCUUCAAUGACUCUUGAUUUAACUGAGCUGAGAAAUAACAUUGCAAAGAUGAAGAUGACUCCAAAGGGGAAUCUCUGGGCAACAGGGCAUUUCAUGGGCAAGAAAAGCGUUGCGGAUAGUUCCUUAAUGGAGUCUGCCUUUGAAGAUGUACACGUUCCCACUGCCAGAGCUGUUAGUCCUCUGUACCGAGUGGAAGACCUGCAGGCACUGCUCAUCCAGAUGUUGAAAACAGCCCAACAAACACAACAGAAACAUGCAUUGAACAUAGGAAGAGGGGAUCCUGCUUGAGGAACAUUUCAACCAACAAUAUGAAGUCCCACUGACGAGGAGGAGAGUUUUAAAAUCCUUUUUUUGAAAAAAGCUCUAAUAUGAAUAUGGUGACGUUUUGAAUGUGAUAUGUUACAUUGUAUAUGACAAUGCUUUGUUUUUGCGUCCACUUAUUUGAAUAAUGUAUUAACCUAGUACCACCUGUCAAUGAACUAUAGUACAGAAAUCCAGACCAUUUGUCAGCCAUGAUUUUCAUCUUUAUGUC